rnacentral:rRNA from 1 species
CCUACGGGAGGCUGCAGUGAGGAAUAUUGGUCAAUGGGCGCGAGCCUGAACCAGCCAAGUAGCGUGAAGGAUGACUGCCCUACGGGUCGUAAACCUCUUUUGCCGGGGAGCAAGGGCGGGGACGUGUCCCGGCCCGGAGAGUACUCGGAGAAAAAGCAUCGGCAUACUCCGUGCCAGCAGCCGCGGUAAUACGGAGGAUGCGAGCGUUAUCCGGAUUGAUUGGGUUUAAAGGGUGCGUAGGCGGGCUUUUAAGUCAGCGGUAAAAAUUCGGGGCUCAACCCCGUCCGGCCGUUGAAACUGGGGGCCUUGAGUGGGCGAGAAGAAGGCGGAAUGCGUGGUGUAGCGGUGAAAUGCAUAGAUAUCACGCAGAACCCCGAUUGCGAAGGCAGCCUUCCGGCGCCCUACUGACGCUGAGGCACGAAAGUGCGGGGAUCGAACAGGAUUAGAUACCCGUGUAGUC